GCAGAUGAUGACUCUAUGGAGAGGGCUGGAAACAUGAAUCAAGAGUGCAGGAUUCCAUGGGAGCAUAGCUCAAAGAUGAGCUAGUGAAGGCCUUGGUGAAAACCAAGAUGCUCACAGGAAGAGGACACUGACAAUUAUGCUACUGUUGGGGGAGAGACAGAAGAGGAUAGAAGCAGAAUAAGGGAGAGAUGUGAACUUAAGUGGCAUUGUGCUGCAGGCGUGCUGCUAUUUUAGUCAAUCUCCUGGAACUGCAGGGUUAUUUACUGGAAAUCUAGUCUGAAAAUGCAUUCUUUGUGUAAUGCUCUAAGUAGGAAGCCACCCCAAGGGAUGUGAAUUACCAAAUACUGUGACAUGAUGGUGCAGAAGAUAAACCCAAACAAACCAUUACUCUCAAAGGCAUAUAGCUAAAUAUUUAUUUCAGAGUCAAUUGAAAAAAAAAAUUAAUUCAGCAAGAGUACACAGUAUAACUGCAGGUCUAACUUAGCUCUGCUGUCUGCUCAUGCUUUAUUCCCAGACAGGAGAGAUUCAAUGUUCACAGACCUGGGGUCUGCAGUGGGGUCCUGCUACUUACAGCUACUUACAGCUGACUUGCCUGAGUCAGUUUUGCUGACGCAGAUGCUAGAGAAAAGCUGGUGUGAAGUUACUGAAUGAGCCUUGUGAAAGGAGAGGGGGACACUGAGCAAUCUUCACCUGUGUAUGAACAGAAGGUGUAGUUCCUUUAUCUGCACUUUUUCCAGAGGACAUAGAGAAAACUGACAGCUUUAUAUAUUCAUUUCUUCAACAGAUACAGUUUUUGUUUCAGUUGAAUGUAAGUCUUCUAGGAUCAAAGGGCUCUAUAAUCAGAAAGAUGUUGUGAAAGAAAUGUUUCCAUCUCCUCCUGCCACGUGCCUUAAGGCUACAAAAGCAGCUCUCUUUCAACCCUGAAAUGGCAAUAAAAAAGCAAACCAUCAAUUAGAAUGUGGAACUGUCUUCACUGUGAAACUCCACUGCUGAGUCAUGUAAAAUGGGACAGCAAGAGUGGGAAAACACUGCUUUAAGGAAAGACUGUGUUAAUCUAGAUGACUGAGGUGUUCUCUGGCAGAAUUUCUAGGGGUCUGCUGCACAGCAGACCAGCAGGAAAUCCAGGAGGCUGUUGCACCAGCUGAACCAUGAAUAUGUUGAAACAGACUAUGUCCUCCAAAAUGAAUGGUUUUGGGGGGUGGCAGUUGUUUAUAAUUCUGUAAUGAGAAUUUCAGGUUUGUGUAUAAACAGUGGGAAAAGUGAACUAAGCAAUGUAAACCAGUACUUUACUUAUUUUUGAGAAUUCGUUUGUAAAACUUGAUGUUUACAUGACAGUUAGCACUGUCCUCCUGCCAGAAGAUAUUGAAAAGGAAGGAAAUGAACUGUGCAGUCAUUUACACCCCAUGAAAAGACAUUUGGUAGCUUAGAAAGAUUUCUUGGUUUCUCUAGUGACUUGUUUGUAAUGUAAGCUCGCUGUCUUUAUAUUCUGGUCAUGUACAGAGUCAAGCAAAAGCAGCACUGGGAAAAAAAUUGUAGGGCCAAAUCCAUUUUAAUGUACCUUCACCACAGUUGGUGGAGUUAAGCCAGGAGAUAAUUUGUCCCAAAGAUUUUGGAGCAACAAAGCAUUAAACUGAAGCUUAAUAGAGCAUUAAAGCUGACAGGAGUAGCAAGAAUUUAUUUGCAAUUAAUUUUCACUCAGAAUAUGGUAAAAUGGUAAAAGGAAAAUUUUCCAAAACUGUAAUGAGCAUGCACAACCUCUGAAUUCUCUGAAAAGGAAGCCGGCCUUUCCCAUAGGUUUCCAUAAACAUAUCUCCCCAUAAAUAUACCCUCUUAUCUCCUGGUUUUGAUCUGCUCACUUGUCCAGUUAGGUCCAUGCAACUGCUAACUUUUAAAGCUGAGUCCUUGCCAAAGCUGUCUGUGCUCUCAAAGUAAAACAAAACAUUGCACAUAGAAAAAAAAAAGCGUGUUGCUGAUGAAGACAAUGAUAGGAAUGACCUACUAGGACAGAUGCACACCACAUCACAUAAUAAAUACAUUGUUACUGCAUAUGGUAUGACAUCACAGAUGUGCCUGAACACACUUGAUGAUUUAGCACCUUUUGCUGUGAGAUAAAGCUGUGCCAGAUUAUGGCAGAAAACAAUCCAGGCAGCUGAAGUAUGAAGCGCUUUUCCAAAGACCAUAAGUAAAUCAUUUAAUAAAGUGUUCUGCUCUUUUUGAUAUAGCAUGUUUGAUUCUAAAGGACAACAGGUGUUCCCUGAUCAAAGAUCUCCAAUUACAAAGAUGUGUAGGACAGAGAAGCAACACUCUGGGGUGGUGGGACUGUGUGGUUUUUUUCUCUGAUUUUCUUUUUUCUGCAGUACCCUAUCAAGGGGCUCUGGGUAUUUAGCAUAAUUCCUUUCCACACAAUCCAAGCCAUUUUCUUUUCUAGAGUAAGGAUACAAGAAACCUUUCUUUAAGCCCAUUCAAGGCAAGUAGUCAACCUGAUGUUCUUCACUUUGAUCUAGGCU